rnacentral:rRNA from 1 species
GUGCCAGCCGCCGCGGUAAUACGGAGGAUCCAAGCGUUAUCCGGAUUCAUUGGGUUUAAAGGGUCCGUAGGCGGAUUUUUAAGUCAGUGGUGAAAGCCGGCAGCUCAACUGUCGAACUGCCAUUGAUACUGGAAAUCUUGAGUACAAAUGAAGUAGGCGGAAUGAGUCAUGUAGCGGUGAAAUGCAUAGAUAUGACUCAGAACACCGAUUGCGAAGGCAGCUUACUAACAUGUAACUGACGCUGAGGGACGAAAGCGUGGGGAGCGAACAGGAUUAGAUACCCUGGUAGUCCACGCCGUAAACGAUCAUCACUCGCUGUUGGCGAUAUACUGUCAGCGGCCAAGCGAAAGUAUUAAGUGAUGCACCUGGGGAGUACGCCGGCAACGGUGAAACUCAAAUAAAUUGGCGG